rnacentral:tRNA from 1 species
GACUUAGCAUAGUGGUGUGUGGUGGUUUGUUGGACCCGGGGGUCUUGGGUUCGAUUCCCAGACUAGCCC